rnacentral:rRNA from 1 species
GACGAACGCUGGCGGCGUGCUUAACACAUGCAAGUCGAACGGAAAGGCCCUGCUUUUGUGGGGUGCUCGAGUGGCGAACGGGUGAGUAACACGUGAGUAACCUGCCCUUGACUUUGGGAUAACUUCAGGAAACUGGGGCUAAUACCGGAUAGGAGCUCCUGCUGCAUGGUGGGGGUUGGAAAGUUUCGGCGGUUGGGGAUGGACUCGCGGCUUAUCAGCUUGUUGGUGGGGUAGUGGCUUACCAAGGCUUUGACGGGUAGCCGGCCUGAGAGGGUGACCGGCCACAUUGGGACUGAGAUACGGCCCAGACUCCUACGGGAGGCAGCAGUGGGGAAUAUUGCACAAUGGGCGGAAGCCUGAUGCAGCAACGCCGCGUGCGGGAUGACGGCCUUCGGGUUGUAAACCGCUUUCGCCUGUGACGAAGCGUGAGUGACGGUAAUGGGUAAAGAAGCACCGGCUAACUACGUGCCAGCAGCCGCGGUGAUACGUAGGGUGCGAGCGUUGUCCGGAUUUAUUGGGCGUAAAGGGCUCGUAGGUGGUUGAUCGCGUCGGAAGUGUAAUCUUGGGGCUUAACCCUGAGCGUGCUUUCGAUACGGGUUGACUUGAGGAAGGUAGGGGAGAAUGGAAUUCCUGGUGGAGCGGUGGAAUGCGCAGAUAUCAGGAGGAACACCAGUGGCGAAGGCGGUUCUCUGGGCCUUUCCUGACGCUGAGGAGCGAAAGCGUGGGGAGCGAACAGGCUUAGAUACCCUGGUAGUCCACGCUGUAAACGGUGGGUACUAGGUGUGGGGUCCAUUCCACGGGUUCCGUGCCGUAGCUAACGCUUUAAGUACCCCGCCUGGGGAGUACGGCCGCAAGGCUAAAACUCAAAGGAAUUGACGGGGCCCCGCACAAGCGGCGGAGCAUGCGGAUUAAUUCGAUGCAACGCGUAGAACCUUACCUGGGUUUGACAUGGAUCGGGAGUGCUCAGAGAUGGGUGUGCCUCUUUUGGGGUCGGUUCACAGGUGGUGCAUGGCUGUCGUCAGCUCGUGUCGUGAGAUGUUGGGUUAAGUCCCGCAACGAGCGCAACCCUUGUUCACUGUUGCCAGCACGUUAUGGUGGGGACUCAGUGGAGACCGCCGGGGUCAACUCGGAGGAAGGUGGGGAUGACGUCAAGUCAUCAUGCCCCUUAUGUCCAGGGCUUCACGCAUGCUACAAUGGCUGGUACAGAGAGUGGCGAGCCUGUGAGGGUGAGCGAAUCUCGGAAAGCCGGUCUCAGUUCGGAUUGGGGUCUGCAACUCGACUUCAUGAAGUCGGAGUCGCUAGUAAUCGCAGAUCAGCAACGCUGCGGUGAAAACGUUCCCGGGGCU